GACAGAGGCCACAAGCGUUAGGCGGAAUCACUGGGCUUAAAGCGUGUGUAGGCGGAUCGUUAAGUGCCUUGUGAAAUCCCACGGCUCACCCGUGGAACUGCUGGGCAUACUGGCGAUCUUGAGCCAUCUAGGGGCGACUGGAACAGACGGUGGAGCGGUGAAAUGCGUAGAUAUCGUCUGGAACGCCAAGGGUGAAAACAGGUCGCUGGGGAUGCGCUGACGCUGAGACACGAAAGCCAGGGGAGCAAACGGG
rnacentral:rRNA from 1 species